UAAUGAUGAUGGUGUAGUGAUCGCGCAGCUGAGGCUGUGAAAAUAAAACCGCUGAUGAGUGAUUUCACUACUAGGACCUCGGUUUCAUUAACACUGGAAAUAGAAAACCACAAGGCGGUGGAAGGAUGUCGGAAAGUUCAAGCGAUACAGAGUCCUGCGGGUGGACCGUCAUAAGUAACGAGGGAUCAGACAUUGAGACACUGUGGCCCGAGCAUCGAAGGGACAGCCAUGCUGAGUCUGAGAGUCUGGAGGAGGAGGAGGUGAAGGAGGAGGUGCAGCAGGAGGUGAAUGAAGAG